rnacentral:lncRNA from 1 species
GUAAUUUUAGAAAAUAUUGCCAGAGAGAUUGAAACAAUUCACCACUUCCCCUCCUCCAGCUUCUCCUGGGCAUGCCACAUACACUGUGGGAAGGGGGAAGGCUGACCUAGGACACCUUCAGGUGGAUGCUACAGAACCCACCAGGGCAGAGCCUCAGCUCUCAGCCUCCUGGAAUGAACCAUGAACCCAAAGUAAAGAGCAGAACUCCUUUGACGCCUCCAGCUUCACAGACAAAGGUGAAUCUCCUAAGGCAUUUCUGAAACAUGCAGUUCUGAAGUCCUGCCAGCCACACCAAAGAGCUUUUCGCAAGAAGGCACAGGCCAGGUAGAGGCAGCUGUG